rnacentral:rRNA from 1 species
ACACGACCCCCCGUGACGUGGGACCACCCCCUGAGAUUAAACAUAUCAAUA